UACAGAGGUCUCAAGCGUUGUUCGGAUUCAUUGGGCGUAAAGGGUGCGUAGGCGGCGCGGUAAGUCGGGUGUGGAAAUCUCGGAGCUUAACUCCGAAACUGCAUUCGAUACUGCCGUGCUUGAGGACUGGAGAGGAGACUGGAAUUUACGGUGUAGCGGUGAAAUGCGUAGAUAUCGUAAGGACGACCAGUGGCGAAGGCGGGGUCUCUGGACAGUUCCUGACGCUGAGGCACGAAGGUCAGGGGGAGCAAACGGG
rnacentral:rRNA from 1 species